ensembl:lncRNA
AAAGAAUAGAGGCUUCUUUAGCAGAAAGACAGAGGACAAAAAGACAGAGGACAGAGAGACUGAGUCGAAGAAAAGGAACGCACAGCCGGACAUUUUCCCUGAAACGAGAAAGAAUAGAGGCUUCUUUAGCAGAAAGACAGAGGACAAAAAGACAGAGGACAGAGAGACUGAGUCGAAGAAAAGGAACGCACAGCUGGACAUUCUACUUGAAACGAGAAAGAUUAGAGACUUCUUUAGCAGAAAGAUGAAGGACAGAAAGACUGAAUCGAAGAAAAGGAACGCACGUCUGGACAUUCUACUUGAAACGAGAAAGAUUAGAGACUUCUUUAGCAGAAAGAUGAAGGACAGAAAGACUGAAUCGAAGAAAAGGAACGCACGGGUCUGUCCCGAGUCUUCCCCCAUCCUCUGACCGAGCUCACAACCAGAUGGUGAUCAGUUGACAGCUCUGCCCCUCUCUUUACCCGAGUGUCCAGAACAUGC